CGGGGCGUAGCGCAGCUUGGUUAGCGCGCCAGUUUUGGGAACUGGAGGCCGAGAGUUCAAAUCUCUCCGCCCCGACCA
rnacentral:tRNA from 1 species